ensembl:misc_RNA Y_RNA Y RNA
AGCUGGUCCAAAGGGAGUGAGUUAUCUACACUGUUCACAGUCAGUUACAGAUCAAACUCCUUGUUCUGCUAUUUCCUGGCUUCUCACUGCUGCACUUGACUAGUCUUAA